rnacentral:lncRNA from 1 species
UGGUCACGGAAAAUGAGUGGGUGACAUAAUCGAGGGCGCGUUAGAAUUGAGUAAAUACGGUAAUCAAACCGUGGUUUUGGCACGUAAAACGGCAGAAUUUUUUUAUGUGAACACAUCCAGUGCUGAACAUGAAAGUGAUCAUAUCUCGUAUCCCCGAAAGUGAUUGACCAAGAAUAUGGCUCUUUCGCACAAAUCUUUUCGCGACACCUAAUGAGCACGCAAUGCCUGGUGGGUGGUACCAAAACCAGCAUUUUGAAGCAGAAGAGGCGUAUUCUCGGACGAUCGCUUAAUCACGGCCAGAUGCAUGGCAGCACACACUGCAACUGCCAUCUCAAGCACCAGAAACAAGUCCACAACACUGGGACCUAAAUUUCGUUGUUUCUACUAUACCUUUGUCACCGAGCCGCAGAUUAUGCAAUGCGCUAGGUACGCAAAAACCGUUGUCACAUGUUGGUGAGACAUGCAGCUCGGUCAUUUGAAACGAGAAAACAAGAUGGCAGCCAUGACCGGUCAUGACGGGUUUCCAGUGUACACGGUCGUUUCCGGUGCUUGGUUGCUUUUUGUAAAGAUCAAUGGUGGCAGCCACGCUAGUGUAAUGUGGUGGUAUUUUACGCAAUUUAAGUAUGAAGCAAAGGCAUUUGAGCACUUGAGUCUGGUAUCCUUGUGCAACUAAGUAGUAAGGGGGCAACUCGCCGUUAAACUUUGUUGAUGUGGGAUUGCAGUUCAGCGAUAUUUCAUCGUCGAGAGAUAUGAGAUGCAUUGAAUCCUAUGGGCAUUCGCGGGAGAUACGAAAAUAUUUCGUCUCAGGAUUUCAUUAUCUCAGGUUUCGAGUGUGGUUGAUUUUCAAGCCAUUUAUUGUUGGCAGAAGAAACUUGUGGUGGCUGCCUGCUUGGCAGUUUCGCCCUUUGUGAUAAAAGCAUACUCCAGCUGCCCGAAACUUGUCAUGUGAUGUUCAUCACCGCCACUGCUCUCAACUUUGUUUCUAAGCAGCCGUAACAAAUGACCUGGCUCAGCUAAGGUAGUGCGCGGAUCCACAAACAUAGAAAUGCUGGGCACAGCAUAUAAGCAAACUGACAAUGCUCCUUGCACAUGAGCAUGCAUCCUGCAGAAGUCACAUGUACCUCUUUGGGCUUAUUGCGCUUCGUGAGGUUUCAGAGCAAUGCUCCUCCCAUGUUAUCAAUGAGAUCGCAGCUGGCUGUGAACGGUGAAUGAGAGUGGCAUUUGGAAAGUUAUGGAAACCAUUGUGUAGUGAUUUUCCCCAAUGUUUUCGCAUUCGAUAUCUUGAGAUAUCCUGAGUACGGUGCAAAAGCAUUUCGAAAUAAGAGUUAAAUAAGUAAAAAAAUUUCAACUUGACUGAUAAUUCGAGAUAUCAGUUUAAAUUAACGAGGUUUUACUGUAUAUCCGAUGUAUACAAUUGACGGCCGAUAAUUCGGACUCCAGAGGGAAGUUAAAUAAGUCCGAA